GCCCGCCUGGCGGAACUGGUAGACGCAGCGGACUUAAAAUCCGACGUCCGUGACAGGGCUUGCCGGUUCGAGUCCGGCGGCGGGCA
rnacentral:tRNA from 1 species